UACGAAGGGGGCUAGCGUUGCUCGGAAUUACUGGGCGUAAAGCGCACGUAGGCGGAUUGUUAAGUCGGGGGUGAAAUCCUGGAGCUCAACUCCAGAACUGCCUUCGAUACUGGCGAUCUCGAGUUCGGGAGAGGUGAGUGGAACUGCGAGUGUAGAGGUGAAAUGCGCAGAUAUCGGGAAGAACACCCGUGGCGAAGGCGGCUCUCUGGGACGGUACUGACGCUGAGGCGCGAAAGCGUGGGGAGCGAACAGG
rnacentral:rRNA from 1 species